ACGCUCGACACCUACGGGGGCAGCAGUGGGGAAUAUUGCACAAUGGGGGAAACCCUGAUGCAGCGACGCCGCGUGAGCGAAGAAGUAUCUCGGUAUGUAAAGCUCUAUCAGCAGGGAAGAAAAUGACGGUACCUGACUAAGAAGCACCGGCUAAAUACGUGCCNGCAGCCGCGGUAAUCUGAGCGGGCUGGCAAGGC
rnacentral:rRNA from 1 species